UGAGAGGGGAAAUAUCUUAGAAAUGGCGUUAGAGAGAGAGAGAGCGAGAGAGAGAGGGGGGGGUGUUUAUGGAAAGGGAGAUGGAGCUUCUUGAAGUUACAGGAAUGGGUACGUGAGGAAAAUCAUCUUUUAUACAAUGGAUAAAAGGUGUGUUUUUUUUUUUUUCCUAUGCCCCCCAUUCCUAUGAUUUCCAGUGGUUCUUCCCUUUCCUUUUUGGCCCAUUGCCGUGGUGCGGAUUUCCAGUGAUCCAAGCCAGUUAUGUGAUAGGAUUAUCCGAACAACCUUUUAAUAAUAUUUCAUUGCUUGGCUAACAUACAGGGUCGGUUAAAAAUGAAAAAUAUCUCAUGUCUUAUUCAAAAAACGAGUGGACGGUUUGGAUUGCCUUAUAAUCACAUUGUAUGGACGGUUGCAGUGCCUUUGAUAUUUUUGUAAGUUGGGUGAAAUUAACAUUGUGAUUCUAUUUCUGUUACUGGGCUGGGGCUCAGUUGCUUAAGCCCAUGCCAGGUACCCGGGCCCCAAACUCAGCCCAUGGUUGAAAACCCAAUACAACGGAGAAGAAUUUACGGGCCCACCUUGAAGAAAAGAGAACUUUAAUUCUCUGUCAGAGCCUUAUUGGUGAUAGUCUGUCUCUUAGAAAUUACACAUGACAUCAUAUAUGUAAUUUAAGUUGAAUUGCUACAAUUAUAGAUUUAGAAGAUGUAGCAUUUUAAAAUAAUGCUUGUUUGAUUUACUGAU